GUGAAGUCAUGCUACCCCUCUAUUCUGCCUUGGUCAGACCACACCUGGAAUACAGUGUCCAAUUCUGGGCGCCGCAGUUGAAGGGAGAUGUGGACAAGCUGGAAAGUGUCCAGAGGAGGGCAACUAAAAUGAUUAAGGGUCUGGAGAACAAGUCCUAUGAGGAGCGGCUUAAAGAGCUGGGCAUGUUUAGCCUGCAGAAGAGAAGGCUGAGUAGAGACAUGAUAGCCAUGUACAAAUAUGAGAUUUUCCUUCUUCUUGGCAGGGGGUUGGACUGGAUGGCCCGUGAGGUCUCUUCCAACUCUACAAUUCUAUGAUUCUAUGCUUUCAUGUUAUGCAUUUUAUUUUCUGAUUGCCUGUUUGCUUCACCUGCUUUAGUUAAACCAAUGUAAAUAUUUAUAUUGAAUUGGCUUGUGUGUGUGUAAUCUUAGUCCUGUCUUGUACUUGCAGCAAUUAGUGUACAUACAUUGAAGAAAAUUGAUGUGUUUUCAUUAGGCUCACGGAUGGAUAAAGUGCAAUGCAAUUAGAACAGAUUAUGGUAUACUCCAUUUACAAAACAUACAAAGCAAAUUCCCAACUAACAGCAAUUAUGCAAUUUUUUAAUCAUUCUCUUACAGUACGUUCCCCAGAAGCAAAUUUUCAUUGUGGAUAAGAGUGCAUGUGUGCGGAACGGGGAUGUGAAUGAGACAGAUCUCUCCCGCUCCCUCCCCCUCCCUCCUGCUUUAGGACUGAAACAAACUGAGUGGCAUUUUAUUGAAUUGCCCUUCAAUUCAUUCUUACUUUUUUGCAAGCAGAAAAUGCUGGACCAUGUUCUUUUUGUUUGAAAUAAAAGAAAAAAGUCCUUUAAGCAAAUGUCACCAUGUAACCUCUCCGUAGGGCUGUGCUGCCUGAAGCAAGGUGGCAAUAGACAAUCCAGUUCUACGGGGUUUUGCUGCCCUCACCUCUCACACUCCUGACACCAAAUGUUAUUGCAUUUUACUGUCUGAAUCUCUGGCUUUUAAUAACAUUUUGUGUGGCAGAUUAUUCUAGAAUACUAUCCAUUUCCUUUCCUUAUCUGAACAUUUCCAAGGUUUUAAAAUGCAUCGAAAAAAGGAAGAUCCAAGGCUCUAAAUACCUCUCACUUAACACAACACACAUGAUUUGUGUAUGUAGGCACGUAUUACAAUUAUCUACCUAUUUACAGUUUAAAUAUUUUUACCUCACCAAUUUCCUAGAGGAGGAACUAAAAGCAGCAUACAGAAUCAAAAACAGACUUUGAAAUGCAAAUCAAGCCAUAUCAAGAGUUUGCAAAAACAACAGUAAAUCUCAAGAUGGUUGAGGGAGUCCUGGGAUUUCUAAAAU
rnacentral:lncRNA from 1 species